rnacentral:sRNA from 1 species
GACCUUGCUCUCUCUUUUCGCUGUUAGACAUGGGCACUCCACAGAAGGAUGUUAUUAUCAAGUCAGAUGCACCAGACACUCUCUUAUUGGAGAAACAUGCAGAUUAUAUCGCAUCCUAUGGCUCAAAAAAAGAUGAUUAUGUAUGUAUAAUUUUUUUAUGUUGGAAAGUUUGUUUUAAAGAAGUGUGACAGUCAUAAGCAGUGAGACAGUAUAUUUUAUGUCUUAAAACGGCAUCCAGCUCCAUGCAGAGAACUGAGGAUGUGCUGUGCCUUUGAACUUCAGUUAAGUGUGCUUUGGACGUCUGAGGUUGUGGGCUUAUUAGAAUCGUAGUUUUUACCUGUACUGAGAGGGCUUGCCAGACAAAGUAGAUGAGGGUUUGAGGUACAAAACGGGUUUCCCUUUUUGUAGUUAGGGGUAAUACUUUCAAGGUCAAUGAUGUGUUGGCAUGUAUUAUCUGAAUCUAUUGAUGAUGUGUAAUAACACUUUAGCUCUAGAAUUACUCUGAGACCUUGAAAAGUUUUACCUUAAAUUUUUAAAUUUCGAGGAAAUCUCUGGGACAAUCUUAGCAAAAAGUAGUAAACAACUUAGUUAAGAGUAAAUGUUUUUCCCUGUAGUAUCCAAACUCAGUUGUCUUAAUCUGCCGAUUUGUGGGAUAUAUGCUAUGUAUUAAUUUUUUACUUAAGUGUUAGGUUCCCAUAACCUUGAAAAUACUCUAGUAGCAAUCAUGGAGUUAAGGCCAUAUGGAUGGGGCUGGACUCGUUUCUGCCUUUAUCUGCUAUCUAUCUUUAUGCCCUGAAUUUGGGUUAGUAGCAAACUAAGAUGCACCACCUGUUAAAAAACUUAUUUUUUUCCUUUUGGGAGAUAUAACCUCACUUUGUUGCCCAGACUGGAGGACAGCGGUGCGAUCUGGUCUCACUGCAGCCUCCAUCUCCUGGGUUUAAGUGAGCCACCUGAACAGCUGGGAUUACAGGCGCGUUCCACCACGCCCAGCUAGUUUCUGUAUUUUUGGUAGAGACGGAGUUUUGCUAUGUUGGCCAGAGUGGUCUCAAACUCCUGACCUCAAGUGAUCUGCCUGCCCCAGCUUCCCAAAGUGCUGGGAUUACAGGCAGGAUCCACCACCCAGCCACAAAACUUCUUAAAAUAUAAUGCAUUGUUGAGUGUGGGAAAAAUUUGUUUCUGGAAUCCUAAUACUAAUUUUCAGUAUCAUUGAUUAGCCACUGUUUUAUCUGGGCUUAAACAUCUUUGGCAUGUUUAGGGCAUUUUGAUUUUUCAUGUAGUUAUAAUGUACUAAUAGAUAAUAAGUUUUGUACCGAGUCC